GUCGGCUCCAAUCCACGCUCGCAGCCAAGACUGGCCGAAGCACAACCAGGAGUGUCGGUUAUUCUCCGCUUCUUCAGCGUAAUUACGACCGUGGUGAAAUUUGUGCACAUGCACACAUACGACAGGUUUCCCUGGUGUCUCAGUAAGGUGUCACCUUCAAGGCUGGGCAGAACAUUGCAAGCUCCUGAGCCCCUAACUUCAGCAUGCAUAAGGAUGGCCCUAUAAUCGUAGCGAAACUGCGCAGAGAGUGGGUUGUUAUUCCAUCCUCCACGUUGACGGAUGCAGCUGAAUAGGAGCUCCAAGUGAUCUUGACUCAGCCUGUAGGUGCAGAUGUACCUGUGCAUUGGGAGGCAUCUCGGUCAAAGAGCAUCUCUGCAAGUUCACCGACACUUUUCAAUGAAAAUGCCAGGCUUAAGACGGACAUCCGCCUCCCAUCCAAGACUGCAAGUUUCCCCGACGGCAAAACAAGUGACAUGAGCUUUCUAGACAUUGCAAGCAUGGUUGUCUUUUGAGAGGAGAAGGACCCUUUGCGGAGGGGAGCCUUGAAAUUUUGGGCUCGUGGGCUAUGUGAGUUGAGGAGGUCAAAGGCUCUGCAAAAGUUUUCGCUGGGAGGCAAGAAGUUAAGAAGCCAAGCUAUUUCUGGUUACCGUCUGGUCUGCAUGCACUGCAGUGCCCUGUGCCCCGACUGCAUGAGACGACGAAGCAGCAUCUUGAGCUCCUGCAGAAGCCGUGGCCUAUAAUAUAACGUAUGAGCUGUGACAUAUAUCUCAUGCUUUUCUCUACAUGCUAUUUGAUUCCGCUUACUUAUUUUUUGUGACACUAUCUUGAAAGAAAUAAUAUUGGGUUAUUACAGAAAGGAUUUUUAUAUGUAUAUUUUUUAUGGCUCAAAUAAAUGUGUGAUACAGGA